GACGAACGCUGGCGGCAUGCUUAACACAUGCAAGUCGAACGGAAAGGCCCUGCUUUUGUGGGGUGCUCGAGUGGCGAACGGGUGAGUAACACGUGAGUAACCUGCCCUUGACUUUGGGAUAACUUCAGGAAACUGGGGCUAAUACCGGAUAGGAGCUCCUGCUGCAUGGUGGGGGUUGGAAAGUUUCGGCGGUUGGGGAUGGACUCGCGGCUUAUCAGCUUGUUGGUGGGGUAGUGGCUUACCAAGGCUUUGACGGGUAGCCGGCCUGAGAGGGUGACCGGCCACAUUGGGACUGAGAUACGGCCCAGACUCCUACGGGAGGCAGCAGUGGGGAAUAUUGCACAAUGGGCGGAAGCCUGAUGCAGCAACGCCGCGUGCGGGAGGACGGCCUUCGGGUUGUAAACCGCUUUCGCCUGUGACGAAGCGUGAGUGACGGUAAUGGGUAAAGAAGCACCGGCUAACUACGUG
rnacentral:rRNA from 1 species